rnacentral:rRNA from 1 species
ACGAACGCUGGCGGCGCGCCUAACACAUGCAAGUCGAACGGGGUUAUAUUGGAUGAAGUUUUCGGAUGGAAUUCUAUAUAACCUAGUGGCGGACGGGUGAGUAACACGUGAGCAACCUGCCUAUCAGAGGGGGAUAACGAUUGGAAACGAUCGCUAAUACCGCAUGACAUAGCGGGAAGGCAUCUUCCUGCUAUCAAAGAUUUAUCGCUGAUAGAUGGGCUCGCGUCCGAUUAGAUAGUUGGUGAGGUAACGGCUCACCAAGUCGACGAUCGGUAGCCGGACUGAGAGGUCGAACGGCCACAUUGGGACUGAGACACGGCCCAGACUCCUACGGGAGGCAGCAGUGGGGGAUAUUGCACAAUGGGGGAAACCCUGAUGCAGCGACGCCGCGUGAGGGAAGACGGUCCUCUGGAUUGUAAACCUCUGUCUUCGGGGACGAAACGAGACGGUACCCGAGGAGGAAGCCACGGCUAACUACGUGCCAGCAGCCGCGGUAAUACGUAGGUGGCAAGCGUUGUCCGGAAUUACUGGGUGUAAAGGGAGCGUAGGCGGGCAGGCAAGUCAGGCGUGAAAUAUAUCGGCUCAACCGGUAUCUGCGCUUGAAACUGCAGGUCUUGAGUGAAGUAGAGGUUGGCGGAAUUCCUAGUGUAGCGGUGAAAUGCGUAGAUAUUAGGAGGAACACCAGUGGCGAAGGCGGCCAACUGGGCUUUUACUGACGCUGAGGCUCGAAAGUGUGGGGAGCAAACAGGAUUAGAUACCCUGGUAGUCCACACCGUAAACGAUGAUUACUAGGUGUGGGGGGACUGACCCCUUCCGUGCCGGAGUUAACACAAUAAGUAAUCCACCUGGGGAGUAUGGCAGCAAGGCUGAAACAGGUCUUGACAUGUGUAUGCAUAGUGUAGAGAUACAUGCACAGUCCUUCGGGACAUACAGACAGGUGGUGCAUGGUUGUCGUCAGCUCGUGUCGUGAGAUAGUUGGGUUAAGUCCCGCAACGAGCGCAACCCUUGUAUUUAGUUGCUACGCAAGAGCACUCUAGAUAGACUGCCGUGGACAACACGGAGGAAGGUGGGGAUGACGUCAAAUCAUCAUGCCCCUUAUGACCUGGGCUACACACGUACUACAAUGGCAAUGGAACAGAGGGAAGCGACUCAGCGAUGAGAAGCAGAUCCCGAAAAAUUGUCUCAGUUCGGAUUGCAGGCUGCAACCCGCCUGCAUGAAGUCGGAAUUGCUAGUAAUCGCGGAUCAGCAUGCCGCGGUGAAUACGUUCCCGGGCCUUGUUACACACCGCCCGUCACACCAUGGGAGUCGGUAACACCCGAAGCCCGUAGCCUAACAGCAAUGAGGGUCGCGGUCGAAGGUGG